ACCUUUUAUGAUAGAAACGUCAACGCCUUGACAUAAUAUGCUGUAAGAAAAUUAGGUGAAAAUUUACAAAAGCAUAAUAUGCGCCCUGUCUUCGUUUAUAGAAGAUAUUCGCAAUACUUUAAAAAUGUGAAAAGAAUCGCCUGGUAUAUUUAUUAUAGAAUUUAGUUUAAGAUUAUAAAUUUAAAAUGUCUACACUUGAAAGUGACCAGCAAAUGGAAUAUGUUAUAGGAGAAGUUUAUAACCGAUUAAAUGAGAUCUUACAAACAUCGCUGAUGAUAAUUUUAGCAGCUAUUGCAGUACUGGUCUUUUCUAUGUCAGAAGUUGUCCAUGCGUCGAAACUUUGUUAACAAAAGAAUCCUAUCCAGUUACUUCUUCAAUUUUGAAAGAUAUUGACUUAGAUGUUGAGACACGUAAGACAAAAUCAAACGAUAUAUUUAAAUCUAUUAUGAUCAUAGAGAAAGAAGCAGAGAAGACGACUACAUCUAAAGAUAGUUGUCAAGGUCGAAACAAUUACAAUAUAGAUGAGGAUUUUAUAAGAGAGAUAGGAUUGUCAGAGUGUUUUAAAUUGCCGCAUCUAAAUGAAAUCUAAAAAAAGAUUAGUGCAACGGUACAAAGAAAAUGCUUUUCUCUGCCUAUCAAGCUAUAGCUCAAUUUUUAUUAUUAUUAUACGAUUUAUGUUUAAUAAUUAUUAUUUCUUAC